ACUUAUGAAUAUUCUGACUUGGCA
rnacentral:piRNA from 1 species